GCGGGCGGCAGUGCACGGUGUGAGCCCGCGACGGGCGGUGUGCGCCAGCCGGUAUUACGUGUGUGUUGUGAGUCUUACACAGCUGAUACUGACGUGUAUGUUGUUGUGUUACACUUUGUUUAUAUGUGAUAGGUACGCAUCCUUAAGGCGGUUUGUGAUUUACAUUGGAAUAUUGCGAUAUUUUACAACUGAAGUGAGUGGUGUAUUUGGUGUAUGGUCAACGCAUCUAAUGGUGAUUUGAUAUAAUGUAUUACACACAAGG